rnacentral:rRNA from 1 species
GCCACCAGUGUUGGCAUUUCGACCAUUGUCAAGCUGUAUCCGUUCGUUGAUCAAAUGCCUAAGCUUAAGUUUUUAGUUAGAAACAAUUGUUCUUUAUGGAACUCCAUCCCUUGGACCGUUACUGUAUGAAUAGGCACCGCAUUUUCAGUCCAGCAGCUCUGUAUACAGAGGGGGCGAUCCUAAUCGAUUUACUGACGUAACGCUGGUAGCAGUCUAGAUGUGUGUGAUGUGAAGCCCCGAGCUACGUGGGGAGGUGCAUCGCAAACUGCUUAGCUAGAGUAUAUGAGAGGGUGCGGAAUUUCUGUGUAGCGUGAAAUGCGUAGAGAUCGGAAGGAACGUCAAUGGCGAAGCAGCCACCUUGCCAUAAUACUGACGUUGAUGUCGCGAAAGCGUGGGGAGCGAACAGGAUUAGAUACCGUGGUAGUCACGCUGUAAACGAUGAGUACUAAAUGUUGGUAGGGGAACCUAUCAGUAUUGAAGUUAACACGAUAAGUACUCCGCCUGGGAAGUACGGCCGCAAGGUUGAAACUCAAAUGAAUUGACGGGGGCCCGCACAAGCGGUGGAGCAUGUGGUUUAAUUCGAUGCAACGCGAAGAACCUUACCUACCCUUGACAUCCUGCGAAUCCCGAUGAGAGUUGGGAGUGCCGAAAGGAGCGCAGAGACAGGUGCUGCAUGGCUGUCGUCAGCUCGUGUUGUGAGAUGUUGGGUUAAGUCCCGUAACGAGCGCAACCCUUGCCCUUAGUUGCCAGCAGGUAAAGCUGGGGACUCUAAGGGGACUGCCGGUGAGGAACCGGAGGAAGGCGGGGACGACGUCAAGUCAUCAUGGCCUUUAUGGGUAGGGCUACACACGUGCUACAAUGGGGCGUACAGAGAGUCGCCAACCCGCGAGGGGGAGCCAAUCUCGAAAAGCGUCUCGUAGUCCGGAUUGGAGUCUGCAACUCGACUCCAUGAAGUCGGAAUCGCUAGUAAUCGCGAAUCAGCAAUGUCGCGGUGAAUACGUUCCCGGGCCUUGUACACACCGCCCGUCACGUCAUGGGAGUGGAUGGUACCAGAAGCGGGUAGUUUAACCGAAAGGAUGACGCCUGCCACGGUAUGAUUCAUGACUGGGACGAAGUCGU